AGCCAGAACACAGGUGUCCUGAAAACUAUCCCUAAAAGCCAAAAUGGGAAAGGAAAAGACUCAUAUCAACAUUGGACACGUAGAUUCGGGCAAGUCCACCACUACUGGCCAUCUGAUCUACAAAUGCAGUGGCAUCGACAAAAGAACCAUUGAAAAAUUUGAGAAGGAGGCUGCUGAGAUGGGAAAGGGCUCCUUCAAGUAUGCCUGGGUCUUGAAUAAACUGAAAGCUGAGCGGGAACGUGGUAUCACCAUUGAUAUCUCCUUGUGGAAAUUUGAGACCAGCAAGUACUAUAUGACUAUCAUUGGUGCCCCAGGACACAGAGACUUCAUCAAAAACAUGAUUACAGGGAAAUCUCAGGCUGACUGUGCUGUCCUGAUUGUUGCUGCUGGUGUUGGUGAAUUUGGAGCUGGUAUCUCCAAGAAUGGGCAGACCUGAGAGCAUGCUCUUCUGGCUUACACACUGGGUGUGAAACAACUAAUUGUUGGUGUUAACAAAAUGGAUUCCACUGAGCCACCCUACAGCC